CUGGAGCUUGGUCACCCCGUGUCGUUCUUUCCUUAUCUCUUUCUCUAUCUUUCUUCAUUCGCCGACGUCGUCCAUCCUGAGGAUAUCCCUGGACCCUGCUGAGGCUGGACCUCGGCAGCUAAUGGACCCUGAAGAAGAUGAGCUUCCUCCACCUUGUAUUAGAUGAUGGUUCAGCCAGCUAGUAGCACCGCGGCCACUGGAGGCCCAACCAGAGGAAACAGCCCGAGAUUGGUAAGCCUUCCUGACUCCUCAACGGUCCUGACAGCUCCACAGGUUGUAGAGCCGCCCUGCCCCCGCCAGACCCAGCAGGCUCCAGCCUCAGCUGGAGAGACAAUGAGCCCACUGGACUCUACUACCAGCCCGAAUGCUGCCCCUACGUUCCCUAAACUCUACCCUCCACUCGCGACGAAUGGAGGCUACAUGAGCCCCCUGGAGAUAAACAAGACCAGGCAACAGCGUUGGAGAGAAGGCUAACUCAGCAGUUCCCUGAGGUCUGGGCUGAAGAUAAUGCCCCUGGAC
ensembl:lncRNA